UACGUAGGGGGCAAGCGUUGUCCGGAAUUACUGGGCGUAAAGCGCGUGUAGGCGGGACGGUUAGUCGGACGUGAAAGGCUGGGGCUCAACCCCAGAUCGCCGUUCGAAACUGCCGUUCUUGAGGGUCGAAGAGGAGAGUGGAAUUCCUGGUGUAGCGGUGAAAUGCGUAGAGAUCAGGAGGAACACCCGUGGCGAAGGCGGCUCUCUGGUCGACAUCUGACGCUGAGACGCGAAAGCGUGGGGAGCGAACGGG
rnacentral:rRNA from 1 species